CGGCGCGGCGAUAGCUCGUUGAAUACAUCACUUUCCAAUGGAUGACUGAAGUUAAGCAACGUUGCGCUUGGUUAGUAUCUGGAUGGGUGACCGUCUGGGCAAUCGCGUACUGGCUUUUC
rfam:Asian citrus Psyllid, Diaphorina citri - Florida Strain, whole genome shotgun sequence.